rnacentral:misc_RNA from 1 species
CAAGGCAGCUGUCUCAAGCGC